GGCCGGUUAGCUCAGUGGGUUGAGCGCAGUGCUGGUAACACCGAGAUCGCGGGUUCAAUUCACGUUCGGUCCG
rnacentral:tRNA from 1 species